UACGAAGGGGGCUAGCGUUGCUCGGAAUCACUGGGCGUAAAGCGCACGUAGGCGGACUCUUAAGUCGGUGGUGAAAUCCUGGAGCUCAACUCCAGAACUGCCUUCGAUACUGAGAGUCUCGAGUCCGGGAGAGGUGAGUGGAACUGCGAGUGUAGAGGUGAAAUUCGUAGAUAUUCGCAAGAACACCAGUGGCGAAGGCGGCUACCUGGCUGACAACUGACGCUGAGACUCGAAAGCAUGGGGAGCAAACAGG
rnacentral:rRNA from 1 species